AUGGCGAAGGUGAGGUGGGCAUCAUCCAGUUUUAAAGGGGAGGGCUCCAGCAAGAAAUGUACUGCUACGGCGAGAAACCGAGCUGGAAAGGGAGCGUCCAGCAGAAAAAUGGCAGGGUGCGUCAGGGGGUGGCAUUUUGCAGAAUGGUCUGGGGAGGUUCGCAACAUUGUCUACUCAUCUGAUGGGAAAAUCUCUAUCUGUUGCGUAUCGUGUGACUAUAGAACUGAUGCAGAGGUGCCCUUCUUUGCUUGGGAGUUUGAAUCCGGUUUGGCUCUCACCGAUCUUGCCUGCUCAGUUUUUGAGUAUGAUGGCGAGGCAUCGUGUUGUGGUGGCGGUGAUGAAGGUAACCUCGUCGAUGGCGGCGGCGACGGGUGGCUGUUGACGAAAGCGAUUCGGGGAUGGGGGAUGUGGAGUGGCAAGGGAUGGAGGCGUAGAACUGCAGCCGGGGAGACGGAGUGGCGGCAAGAUUGGACGAGCUCGCCUGCGGAGUGCGUGGGCAAGAUUUCCCUUUCCGGGUCAAACGAGGGCUUCCUUCUGUGUCGUGGACGGAAACUGCCAGCAUGGACGGCCUACUCCUAUGAUCUCACAGCUUGUUGUGUCAAGGAGCAUGUGGUGAGGGAGAGAGAGAAAGGGAAAAUGGAAGCCAAGUGA
rnacentral:rRNA from 1 species